rnacentral:rRNA from 1 species
UACGGAGGGUGCGAGCGUUGUCCGGAAUCACUGGGCGUAAAGGGCGCGUAGGCGGUUUGGUAAGCGUGCGGUGAAAGCCCGGGGCUCAACCCCGGGUCUGCCGUGCGAACUGCUGGACUAGAGCACUGUAGAGGCAGGUGGAAUUCCGAGUGUAGCGGUGGAAUGCGUAGAGAUUCGGAGGAACACCAGUGGCGAAGGCGGCCUGCUGGGCAGUAGCUGACGCUGAGGCGCGACAGCGUGGGGAGCAAACAGG